CCCUUAGAUGUUCUGGGCCGCACGCGCGCUACACUGAUGCAUUCAACGAGUCCAACCUUGACCGAGAGGUCCGGGUAAUCUUUGAAACUGCAUCGUGAUGGGGCUAGAUUAUUGCAAUUAUUAAUCUUCAACGAGGAAUGCCUAGUAAGCGUGAUUCAUCAAAUCGCGUUGAUUACGUCCCCGCCCUUUGUACACACCGCCCGUCGCUCCUACCGAUUGAGUGUGUUGGUGAGGAGUUUGGAUUGGCCUCGGAAGGUGGUUCGCCACCGUCCGUAGCUGAGAAGUUCUCCAAACCGCCCCACUUAGAGGAAGGAGAAGUCGUAACA
rnacentral:rRNA from 1 species